CAGCUGAAAAGCAUGGUGCCACCAAUCCUUGCACUUCAAGUUCCCGUUUGCCUCAUUGGGAGUCCAGCCAACUUGCUGUCUGUUGUUUAGUGUGGGCGAGGAGAUGGGAGGAAAGAACUGGGUGAUGGGAGGGUAGGAGGACAAAGAGACACUGUGGGGAGUGGAAAUUUCAUUGAAGGGGGCGAAGGAGGGGAGAGUGAGAAACAAGACUCUUGAUGGGGGAAAAAUGCAGCUUCAGUUCCUUUCUUAUGCUUCCUUGUGAUAUGGAAAUGAUCCUGAGUUCUCUAAGGCUUUGCUGACUGAACCCAACCUCUGGUAAGUUCCACCUAGCUGCAAAAGCUUUGAGUAUGGUUUUGGUAACAUGAUUUUGUUUCCUGA
rnacentral:lncRNA from 1 species